GCCUACGGCCAUACCAGUCUGAAAGUGCCUGAUCUCGUCAGAUCUCAGAAGUCAUGCAGACUUGGGCCUGCUUAGUACUUGUUUGGGAUACCAAUUAGGAACAUCACAUGCUGUAAGCU
rnacentral:rRNA from 1 species